CACAAAACAAAGGGAUCGAUCAACUCCCCGAGGAAACGUUGUUCGCCUUCAUCAUUUCAGAAUUGUAGAAAGAGAAAACUGCGCAGCCGCGGAGGACUCUGUCCGUGAAGAAGGUCAUCCGAUGGUUUCUUGCGAGGAUAAACCCUGAGUUCGAUCCGUUGUGAGACGCGAGAGUUUUCCAUCCGAGCCUAGAAGUCUUUUCUACCGAUUGAAGGAUCAGGAAAACGAGGAGCUUAUAGACAGGAGCCAAGCCAGUCUUUCAGUAGCUCCGGUUCUUCCAAAAUUUCAAGUCAAGGAUUUGGAAAGCAUCUCCAUUUAAACUCUCAGGGAAUUCCUUUUCCCUCCAUCAUUGCAUUCUAUUGCUAUUGUUGUCGAAACCUAGGUAAGAUG